UACGAAGGGUGCAAGCGUUACUCGGAAUUACUGGGCGUAAAGCGUGCGUAGGUGGUUUGUUAAGUCUGAUGUGAAAGCCCUGGGCUCAACCUGGGAAUUGCAUUGGAUACUGGCAGGCUAGAGUGCGGUAGAGGAUGGCGGAAUUCCCGGUGUAGCAGUGAAAUGCGUAGAGAUCGGGAGGAACACCUGUGGCGAAGGCGGCCCCCUGGGCCGGCCCUGACACUGAGACGCGAAGGCGUGGGGAGCGAACGGG
rnacentral:rRNA from 1 species